rnacentral:rRNA from 1 species
UACGGGGGGGGCAAGUGUCAUUCAUCUUUACUGGGCGUAAAGGGUGUGUAGAUGGAUAAGUUAAGUUUUAAAUAAAAAAUUAGUAAUUAAUAAGUAUUUAUCAUACUGAUUAUCUAGAGUUUAGUAUAAGAAGAUGGUACUCACAAAGUAGGGGUGGCAUUCGGAGAUAUUGAGGGGGACUAACAAAGAUUAAUGUAAUUUUCUAAUAUUAAACUGACAUUGAGGCACUAAAGCAUGGGGUUCAAAUAGA